AUUUUAGCAAUGGCGGGGAAAUUGAAAGAGCUCGAAUAAAAGCCAACAUUAAAUCGAGUUUUAGAUCAAAAUAUUCGUUCUAAAAGCUUUAUUUUUUUCGAUUUUAUGCAAGUAUAACCAUUUAUCUUUAAAGAAGGGACAAUAUUGUGUUUGUAGCGGUUUCAAAAGAGCUGCAAAUUCCUUCAAAAGAUGUCAUUUUGGGAAGCUUACUAAAUUACAACACGUGGUUGAAGUGUGAUGGUCUUUUGGCCUCGAUACCAGCGCCGUAACCUGUUCAGAAGAUGCUGAAAAUACUCUGGCGUGACUGCUCCUAAG
rnacentral:lncRNA from 1 species